CAGUUUGUUGAACUCAUCAAAUUGAAAAACAUGUUGUGAUUCUUAGGCUUAGUUUGGUAUUGAGGUCUAUCUAACGCUAUUAGAUAAAAUGGAGUUGAGAAAAAAAUAUAUAUGGAUAUGCUUUUGCGUUCUCCGAUAGGAGCGCAGAAAAUAUAUCGUAACCGACUAAUCGCGAUUGCGUUUGCGAUAUGCAGAACGCAAUAUUACGUACGAAAACAAAUAAAAUAUUUUUUCGACGUACUUUCUCACCGCACGUAAUGCAAUAUCCCCGCAAUCCCAAACGAAGCCUUACUACUACCAAAUAUAGAAGGUUUUGAGUUUAAGUUCUACACAUCAAAUAUUCCAACUUA
rnacentral:lncRNA from 1 species